rnacentral:rRNA from 1 species
AUUGAACGCUGGCGGCAGGCCUAACACAUGCAAGUCGAACGGUAGCACAGAGAGCUUGCUCUCGGGUGACGAGUGGCGGACGGGUGAGUAACGUCUGGGAAACUGCCCGAUGGAGGGGGAUAACUACUGGAAACGGUAGCUAAUACCGCAUAACGUCGCAAGACCAAAGUGGGGGACCUUCGGGCCUCACACCAUCGGAUGUGCCCAGAUGGGAUAGCUAGUAGGUGGGGUAAUGGCUCACCUAGGCGACGAUCCCUAGCUGGUCUGAGAGGAUGACCAGCCACACGGGAACUGAGACACGGUCCAGACUCCUACGGGAGGCAGCAGUGGGGAAUAUUGCACAAUGGGCGCAAGCCUGAUGCAGCCAUGCCGCGUGUAUGAAGAAGGCCUUCGGGUUGUAAAGUACUUUCAGCGGGGAGGAAGGCGGUGAAGUUAAUAACUUCACCGAUUGACGUUACCCGCAGAAGAAGCACCGGCUAACUCCGUGCCAGCAGCCGCGGUAA